UACGAAGGGAGCUAGCGUUGUUCGGAAUCACUGGGCGUAGAGCGCACGUAGGCGGAUGUGUCAGUCAGGGGUGAAAUCCCGGAGCUCAACUUCGGAACUGCCUUUGAUACAGCACAUCUGGAGUCCGGAAGAGGUGGGUGGAAUUCCUAGUGUAGAGGUGAAAUUCGUAGAUAUUCGGAAGAACACCAGUGGCGAAGGCGGCUCACUGGCCCGGUACUGACGCUGAGGUGCGAAAGCGUGGGGAGCAAACAGG
rnacentral:rRNA from 1 species